rnacentral:rRNA from 1 species
CUUAAUUCCUAAAACACUUUAAACCCUUCACCCUUAUUAAGUAAUUUUAUAAUUAUAUAAAAGUCUUCAUGCUAGAACUAGUAACAAGAAAUUGAAUUUCUCCUAAAUAUAUCCAUAAAGGAAAAUGGACAAACCACUGGUAAUUAACGUAUUUUAGCUAACUAUAGUAACACCCUCAAGAAAACCCUAUAAUUAUUCACGUUAACCUAACACAAGAAUAUUUCAGGAAAGAUUAAAAGAAAGGGAAGGAACUCGGCAAAUUUUAACCCCGCCUGUUUACCAAAAACAUCGCCUCUUGAUAAAUAUAAGAGGUCCAGCCUGCCCAGUGACUUACUUAAACGGCCGCGGUAACAUAACCGUGCAAAGGUAGCAUAAUCAUUCGUUCUUUAAAUAGGGACUCGUAUCAACGGCACCACGAGGGUUAUACUGUCUCCCCCUUCUAAUCAGUGAAACUGACCUCCCCGUGAAGAGGCGGGGAUAAAACUACAAGACGAGAAGACCCCAUGGAGCUUUAAACCCAAUAAUAAUUUUUACCUAAACAAUCCAUAAAAGCAUAAAAAUUCUAUUUGUUGGUUUUGGGUUGGGGCGACCACGGAGUAAAACAAAACCUCCCUGACGAACAGGUUUUAUCCUAAUCCAAGAGCUACUGCUCUAAGAAUGAAAAAUUUGACGUAACAUGAUCCGGUAACCGAUCAACGAACCAAGUUACCCUGGGGAUAACAGCGCAAUCCAUUUUUAGAGCCCUUAUCAACAAAUGGGUUUACGACCUCGAUGUUGGAUCAGGGUGUCCUAGUGGUGCAGCC